GACUCUGUGACGUAGUGGUAGUACGUGCUCCCAGUAAGGGUGAUGUGCGGGUUCAACUCCCGUCUGAGUCU